rnacentral:rRNA from 16 species
GCCGAAGCGAUUCCCCGAAAUAGCUCUGCAACAGUGACCGUACUAAAACUGACACAGGUAGGUGUGGUGAAUAUCCUCAGGCGCUCGAGAGAAUGGUAGUUAAGGAAUUAGGCAAAUUGACCCCGUAAGUUCGCGAUAAGGGGGCCCUCCCUCGCAAGAGAAGGGCGCAGAGAAAAGGUGCUGGCAACUGUUUAUCAAAAACACAGGACUCUGCUGAAGUCGUAAGACGACGUAUAGGGUCUGACGC